rnacentral:rRNA from 1 species
AUUGAACGCUGGCGGCAGGCCUAACACAUGCAAGUCGAACGGUAACAGGAAGAAGCUUGCUUCUUUGCUGACGAGUGGCGGACGGGUGAGUAAUGUCUGGGAAACUGCCUGAUGGAGGGGGAUAACUACUGGAAACGGUAGCUAAUACCGCAUAACGUCGCAAGACCAAAGAGGGGGACCUUCGGGCCUCUUGCCAUCGGAUGUGCCCAGAUGGGAUUAGCUAGUAGGUGGGGUAACGGCUCACCUAGGCGACGAUCCCUAGCUGGUCUGAGAGGAUGACCAGCCACACUGGAACUGAGACACGGUCCAGACUCCUACGGGAGGCAGCAGUGGGGAAUAUUGCACAAUGGGCGCAAGCCUGAUGCAGCCAUGCCGCGUGUAUGAAGAAGGCCUUCGGGUUGUAAAGUACUUUCAGCGGGGAGGAAGGGAGUAAAGUUAAUACCUUUGCUCAUUGACGUUACCCGCAGAAGAAGCACUGGCUAACUCCGUG